GCCCAUCAGCAGCAGACCCUCUCUCCCAGACCCUCCCACCUCCUGGACAGCAUCCAUUGUGAAGCUGCAUUCUUAGUGAGCUGUCCAGGAGGUGGAAGGGUCUGGGAGGGAGGGUCUGCUGACUGUGAGG